rnacentral:rRNA from 1 species
UACGUAGGAUGCAAGCGUUGUCCGGAAUUAUUGGGCGUAAAGAGCUCGUAGGCGGUCUGUCGCGUCGGCUGUGAAAUCCCCGAGGCUCAACCUCGGGUCUGCAGUCGAUACGGGCAAACUAGAGUAUUGCAGGGGAGACUGGAAUUCCUGGUGUAGCGGUGAAAUGCGCAGAUAUCAGGAGGAACACCGGUGGCGAAGGCGGGUCUCUGGGCAAUAACUGACGCUGAGGAGCGAAAGCGUGGGGAGCGAACAGG